rnacentral:rRNA from 1 species
GGAAACAGGUUAAUAUUCCUGUACUUCUGGUUACUGCGAUGGAGGGACGGAGAAGGCUAGGCCAGCUUGGCGUUGGUUGUCCAAGUUUAAGGUGGUAGGCUGAAAUCUUAGGUAAAUCCGGGGUUUCAAGGCCGAGAGCUGAUGACGAGUCGUCUUUUAGAUGACGAAGUGGUUGAUGCCAUGCUUCCAAGAAAAGCUUCUAAGCUUCAGGUAACCAGGAACCGUACCCCAAACCGACACAGGUGGUCGGGUAGAGAAUACCAAGGCGCUUGAGAGAACUCGGGUGAAGGAACUAGGCAAAAUGGCACCGUAACUUCGGGAGAAGGUGCGCCGGCUAGGGUGAAGGAUUUACUCCGUAAGCUCUGGCUGGUCGAAGAUACCAGGCCGCUGCGACUGUUUAUUAAAAACACAGCACUCUGCAAACACGAAAGUGGACGUAUAGGGUGUGACGCCUCCCCGGUGCCGGAAGGUUAAUUGAUGGGGUUAGCGCAAGCGAAGCUCUUGAUCGAAGCCCCGGUAAACGGCGGCCGUAACAAUAACGGUCCUAAGGUAGCGAAAUUCCUUGUCGGGUAAGUUCCGACCUGCACGAAUGGCGUAACGAUGGCGGCGCUGUCUCCACCCGAGACUCAGUGAAAUUGAAAUCGCUGUGAAGAUGCAGUGUAUCCGCGGCUAGACGGAAAGACCCCGUGAACCUUUACUGUAGCUUUGCACUGGACUUUGAGCCUGCUUGUGUAGGAUAGGUGGGAGGCUUUGAAGCGUGGACGCCAGUUCGCGUGGAGCCAUCCUUGAAAUACCACCCUGGCAUGCUUGAGGUUCUAACUCUGGUCCGUAAUCCGGAUCGAGGACAGUGUAUGGUGGGCAGUUUGACUGGGGCGGUCUCCUCCUAAAGAGUAACGGAGGAGUACGAAGGUGCGCUCAGACCGGUCGGAAAUCGGUCGCAGAGUAUAAAGGCAAAAGCGCGCUUGACUGCGAGACAGACACGUCGAGCAGGUACGAAAGUAGGUCUUAGUGAUCCGGUGGUUCUGUAUGGAAGGGCCAUCGCUCAACGGAUAAAAGGUACUCCGGGGAUAACAGGCUGAUACCGCCCAAGAGUUCAUAUCGACGGCGGUGUUUGGCACCUCGAUGUCGGCUCAUCACAUCCUGGGGCUGAAGCCGGUCCCAAGGGUAUGGCUGUUCGCCAUUUAAAGUGGUACGCGAGCUGGGUUUAGAACGUCGUGAGACAGUUCGGUCCCUAUCUGCCGUGGACGUUUGAGAUUUGAGAGGGGCUGCUCCUAGUACGAGAGGACCGGAGUGGACGAACCUCUGGUGUUCCGGUUGUCACGCCAGUGGCAUUGCCGGGUAGCUAUGUUCGGAAAAGAUAACCGCUGAAAGCAUCUAAGCGGGAAACUUGCCUCAAGAUGAGAUCUCACUGGGAACUUGAUUCCCCUGAAGGGCCGUCGAAGACUACGACGUUGAUAGGCUGGGUGUGUAAGCGUUGUGAGGCGUUGAGCUAACCAGUACUAAUUGCCCGUGAG